GAGUGAGUGAAAGUGGAGGCAGGCAGGUAUAAAAACGGGCAAAGAGCGGGAUGUAGGCCAGAUCCUCGAGGUGACUCACAAAGGGAACUAAGACACCGCAGAAAAUGAAGCUCACUUUGGUUAAGCUGUUCGCCGUGAUGGUGGUGGUAGCGGUGGUGGGUGUGGCCACGACCCUCGCUGAUCCUACGUUCGGAAAUAAGUUCGCUAGUUACGGGUUCUCCAAGCACUACCAACAGCCGUACGCACUACAUAGCCCCUUCCAAGCCCAACUCGGCGGCUUCUCGAAUUUCGGGGGCCCGUACGGUCUGCGCGCCUUGUAUCAGCAUCGUUUUGGUGCUUUUUAAUGUGGUUAUUCUGCAGUAAAAUGGUCAACGAACAGCUUGAUGAGUGAGUGGAAGAAGCUUGGCAGUCGUGUGGUGAGGGCCAAGAGCUGCCAUGUGUAGGCUAGUGAUGGCCCCUUGCUGGCUCGUGAUGUUCUUAUGUUCUUAAUAAUCAUGCUUUCCUGGGUUAAGUAUUUUAGUGAUGAAAUGUUACGUAUAACUUAUUACUUUCCUUUUUAUGUUCAUUGUAAGGCUAACGUAUUUUAUUAUUCGGUAUUACUCUCAGUGUAACGUAUAAAAUGUCCGGCUAGAUAUCGUUAUGUUUUGUAUUGACUGUUUAUCCAAAUAUAUUCUUGUUGAGUAAUG